UACGGAGGAUCCGAGCGUUAUCCGGAUUUAUUGGGUUUAAAGGGUGCGCAGGCGGGAGAUUAAGUCGGAGGUGAAAUUUUGCAGCUCAACUGUAAAAGUGCCUUCGAAACUGGUUUCCUUGAGUGUAGAUGAAGUAGGCGGAAUUUGUGGUGUAGCGGUGAAAUGCAUAGAUAUCACGAGGAACUCCGAUUGCGCAGGCAGCUUACUAAACUACCACUGACGCUCAGGCACGAAGGCGUGGGGAUCAAACAGGAUUAGAUACCCCUGUA
rnacentral:rRNA from 1 species